AUAUCUUUAGUUUCUUAUGCAGUUUUAGAGAUGCUCAACAACAGAGCAUAGAAUGUAUGUGCUGACUUCCCAACCCAUUGAACAUGAAACUUCACUGCAAUCAAUGGUACCAUGAUAUGAAGAGUCCUAAUUUACACGACUUCUAUAUCUUCUACAUGGGAAAGGGACUUACUCUUCUUGGGCUUCUUAAUUUCAAAUUGGUUUUGAUUAUGUUUUUCAGUUAGGUAUUGUUUUGAUUUUGAUUUUGGAUUUGCAGGUAUUCCAACUAGCGGCCCAUCCACCCUUCCCAGCAUCUGAUAAGGGUUGGGGUAAAGAAUUAGGCCAAGUACAAGACUAAUAUACUAUUUUGGAGUCUAUUUAUUUGGCUACUUGAAUUUGUAAUAUUUUCAUU